rnacentral:rRNA from 1 species
CCUACGGGAGGCAGCAGUGGGGAAUUUUGGACAAUGGGCGAAAGCCUGAUCCAGCAAUGCCGCGUGAGUGAAGAAGGCCUUCGGGUUGUAAAGCUCUUUUGUCAGGGAAGAAACGGUGAGAGCUAAUAUCUCUUGCUAAUGACGGUACCUGAAGAAUAAGCACCGGCUAACUACGUGCCAGCAGCCGCGGUAAUACGUAGGGUGCAAGCGUUAAUCGGAAUUACUGGGCGUAAAGCGUGCGCAGGCGGUUUUGUAAGUCUGAUGUGAAAUCCCCGGGCUCAACCUGGGAAUUGCAUUGGAGACUGCAAGGCUAGAAUCUGGCAGAGGGGGGUAGAAUUCCACGUGUAGCAGUGAAAUGCGUAGAUAUGUGGAGGAACACCGAUGGCGAAGGCAGCCCCCUGGGUCAAGAUUGACGCUCAUGCACGAAAGCGUGGGGAGCAAACAGGAUUAGAUACCCUGGUAGUCCACGCCCUAAACGAUGUCUACUAGUUGUCGGGUCUUAAUUGACUUGGUAACGCAGCUAACGCGUGAAGUAGACCGCCUGGGGAUCGGUCGCAAGAUUAAACUUAAGAUAGUGCGNGAGAGAGNGACGAGACGACGAGGAGGAGG